UAUUAAGCGCCCUAUAUAAUCAGUGGGAGAUUGUUCUUGAGAAUAAUUUCAAAAGUGUCUGGAGGUGCCUUGAUCAGUUCGAAGGGCUUUAGGUCAAGGAUUUCGUUUGUAAAUCAAUACGAAAAUAUUCUAUUAUGAUCUCGUGACUCCUUGCGUGGCAAACUACACUUCUAGCCCCCAGGAUUGGUCAAAAAUGGAAUAUUCCAACCUUUAUUAAGAGCUGUGAGGGCAAAACUUCCCCCAUUUCGCAUGUGCGGGCAACUUACGCACACACAUUUUGCUGAGAAGCAAUCGGGAUAAAAGAGGGAUGGUUUAUACACAAGCGCCCCAAAGCCGAGAAACAUUAUGUUAUCGUGAAUCAAGCGCCAUGCAGAUAUAAACAGCCCUUGCUGCCCGCCCGAUUAACAGACAGCUCGACCUGAUGUUUUCACAAAAUCAUUCAACGGAUGAAGCAUGAGUGUACAGGAAUAUUCAAAAGGGAAAUUACAUGUAGGAGUAUUUACAGUUCGACCUGAUGUUUUCUCA